rnacentral:snRNA from 1 species
GGAUGUAAGGGCAAUCUGCGACAUUUGUCACUCCACUGAUCUCCAGGGUGGAUUCGGAUGAUCUGGUGGCUAGGUGGGUGUCCCUCUCUCCCCCACCACUCCAUGUGUGUCCCUCCCAAAACUGCACUCCAGGAAGAAGAGGACGACCUUCCCCAAGUAGAGGCGAGCUGGUCUUCAGUCAAGGGUAUCAAAGUAGCUGGGCUGCCCUGCUGGGACCUCCACACAAGCUCUCAAGAUGCAUGAGGAAUACAGAUCUCAGAGCCCAUCCUAGGCUGAUGGUGUCAGAGAAGCCCA